AAGUCGUAACAAGGUUUCCGUAGGUGAACCUGCGGAAGGAUCAUUCACAAUGAGUGUUUUAUGGCACUCUUUAAAAAUCCAUAUCCACCUUGUGUGCAAUGUUUGUUGGGAGAGAGGCAGCUCUUUCCCUUCCCAAAUAUCAACCUAUAUCUUUAACAACAUUCGUCUGAUAACAUAUUAUGAAUAUACUUAAUUCAAAAUAUAACUUUCAACAACGGAUCUCUUGGCUCUCGCAUCGAUGAACAACGGACCCAAAUGCCAUACAUAAUGUGAAUUGCAUAAUUCACUGAAUCAUCAAAUCUUUGAACGCAUAUUGCGCUCUUUGGUAUUCCGAAAAGGAUGCUUGUUUGAGUAUCAAUAAACACCUCGACCUCUUUUUUUGACAAACAAAGGGAGGGUGGACUUGAUCUAUCCCAACGACCUUUACCGUUAGGCGGGCGGCUUGAAUUGCUUGUGCGGCUGGACUUUUGUCUCAUCUAAAGGCAUAUCUAUUUAGCCUGCCUAAAAACAUAUUAUUACCUUUGCUGCAGCUAACUUAAAGGAGAUUAUUUCUUGUGCUGACUGAUGCAGGAUUCACAGAGACCGCUUCGGCUGUCUUUGUAAGAUCGAUCUCAAAUCAUGUAAGACUACCCGCUGAACUUAA
rnacentral:rRNA from 1 species